CCUCCACCGUCCCCGCAAGCCGUUUCCAGGCAGUAAUCCCGGGCGGGCGAGGUCCCCUGCGUGCCGGCGCGGCCCCGAGUGUGCCCUGACGCCCAGUGUGCUACUUCACUUACUCCGAACAGUCCUAUUGUUCCUCCCAGCAGAGCCAUUGAAACGUUUGCAAAAUAGCAGAGGGUUCCAGAUGGGAGGAGCCAUUGUUCAAAGUCCAGACCACCCAGCGGGCAUGUCAGACCCGUAAGACGUUAUCCCCAACGGAAGAAACAAUGGCAGAGAAAGGAAAUCAUGUGUUUGCUGGGAGUGAAUUUUCCAGAAGGCACCUUGGCCUCAUGACACAGAAGGUCUGAUUCCAACUCUGCCAGUGAAGAACUGAGAGACCCUGGACAAGUUGUCUCGCCUUUCUGAUCAAUUGCUAUACCUAAAAUAGGUACACUGUGUGGGGGGAAGCGAUUAAAAUUUUUGAAAAAAUUUUAAUUUUUUGGUUUAUUAUUAUUUUU
rnacentral:lncRNA from 1 species